rnacentral:piRNA from 1 species
UGACAAUGUAGUUUUCCAAUA